CUUGCACUGUAUUUUUUAACAUUUAUUUAGUUGAAUGCUGCUAAAACGUCUUCCAAGCAAAGACUGUGUCAUGAUUAGUUAGUAUGCAAGAAGAACAACACAAAGUAUCUCAUACUUUAUCACAUUCAGUUAUGAAAUAUGUCCUUUGUAAUCAUUGGUUCCCUGUGGUUUGUCUUUGUUCUCCUGUUCAUGAAUGACAUGAUCAUUAAAUGAUUGGGGUUAACAGUUGCAUCAUAAUUGGUUAUUUCAAAAGUUAGCAAGAUAUUUUUUUCAUUUCAUCAUUGCCUACUUCCACACAUGCACAUAACCGAAAACAUGGUACUUUUGAAAGUGUUCAUAAUUUUGGCCAUGUCAUGCAAAUGCUGAAUUGUAGAUUGGGUCACCAAAGACAAAGAAAAAUCUACUAAAAAUUUACAUUGUAAAGAGAUUUUGAUGCUAUGCUGUACUUGUGUAAGAUGUCAUUUCGUAUGCUACCUGUGGACACAUACUGGCGUUUGACUGAGGGUGUGGUCUUUCCUUGUUAUGUAUUUACUGGUCUUUGGUUUUAUUACUGACUGUUGGUGUUCUUGAAGAAUGGGACCUGUAUAUUUGUUAGCUUAUGACUAGUUUUUCUUGAUUAAAACAUGAUCAUGAUAAUAACAUUUGAAAUUUAUCGUUGAUCAUUUGAAAUUUAUCGUUGAUCAUUUGUAAAAGAAAGAGGGAAUUUAUGUUUCAGUACCUGGAGCUUUGAUUGUACAUAAUGACUUGUUGCUAUUGUCCAUGGCUGGUAUUCUUGGGUUCUGAGAAAUGUUAAAAUGUUAUCACUAGUGAUGCACCAAUAUACAUAUUUAGCGAUAUACCAAUUAACAGAUAUUAAAAUGCCGAUAUUGUACCGAUACCGAUA